rnacentral:rRNA from 1 species
CAGCAGCCACGGGAAUACGUAGGGUGCGAGCGUUAAUCGGAAUUACUGGGCGUAAAGCGUGCGCAGGCGGUCCGCUAAGACAGAUGUGGAAUCCCCGGGCUUAACCUGGGAACUGCAUUUGUGACUGGCGGGCUAGAGUGUGUCAGAGGGGGGUAGAAUUCCACGUGUAGCAGUGAAAUGCGUAGAUAUGUGGAGGAAUACCGAUGGCGAAGGCAGCCCCCUGGGAUAACACUGACGCUCAUGCACGAAAGCGUGGGGAGCAAACAGGAUUAGAUACCCCUGUAGUCCCUGUCUCUUAUAC